GUUUUUCGCUUUCCGAUGAGCCCGCGUCAGAUUAGCUAGUUGGUGAGGUAACGGCUCACCAAGGCAACGAUCUGUAACUGGUCUGAGAGGAUGACCAGUCACACUGGAACUGAGACACGGUCCAGACUCCUACGGGAGGCAGCAGUAGGGAAUAUUGCACAAUGGAGGAAACUCUGAUGCAGCGACGCCGCGUGAGUGAUGAAGGACUUCGGUUCGUAAAGCUCUGUCGUAUGGGAAUAAUAAAAUG
rnacentral:rRNA from 1 species